rnacentral:rRNA from 1 species
UACGUAGGGUCCGAGCGUUGUCCGGAAUUAUUGGGCGUAAAGGGCUCGUAGGCGGUUAGUCACGUCGGGAGUGAAAACUCAGGGCUCAACCCUGAGCGUGCUUCCGAUACGGGCUGACUAGAGGUAUGCAGGGGAGAACGGAAUUCCUGGUGUAGCGGUGGAAUGCGCAGAUAUCAGGAAGAACACCCGUGGCGAAGGCGGCUCUCUGGGACGGUACUGACGCUGAGACGCGAAAGCGUGGGGAGCGAACAGG